UGGAGAAGCUAUUUGAGGAUCUAUUUAUACUUGAUGUUAAGUCCUGUGUGUUGGCAGGUUUCGUGAAGUGAGUCGGAGUCUCGAAGAAUCGGUGCGUAUCGUCGAAGAUCGAAGAAUUCAAGAUUUCGAAGAAAUUGGAAAAUGACUCACGAUGUGAAUCACGAUGUCCAGGUAAAGUGUUAGUUCAUGUUAUGGUGAUUCAUACUUAGUUGUAGGCAUUAGAAUCAUAAUAUCAAUGUUUAAUGGAUUAGAAAGUGCAUCGGAACUUUGCAAAACCCGAAACGGUGAAAAUUUGCAAAAUGUACCGGUACAGCAUCAGAAGUGUACC
rnacentral:lncRNA from 1 species